GUUGGUAAGGUAACGGCUUACCAAGGCAACGAUGCAUAGCCGACCUGAGAGGGUGAUCGGCCACACUGGAACUGAGACACGGUCCAGACUCCUACGGGAGGCAGCAGUAGGGAAUCUUCCGCAAUGGGCGAAAGCCUGACGGAGCAACGCCGCGUGAGUGAUGAAGGUCUUCGGAUCGUAAAACUCUGUUAUUAGGGAAGAACAUAUGUGUAAGUAACUGUGCACAUCUUGACGGUACCUAAUCAGAAAGCCACGGCUAACUACGUGCCAGCAGCCGCGGUAAUACGUAGGUGGCAAGCGUUAUCCGGAAUUAUUGGGCGUAAAGCGCGCGUAGGCGGUUUUUUAAGUCUGAUGUGAAAGCCCACGGCUCAACCGUGGAGGGUCAUUGGAAACUGGAAAACUUGAGUGCAGAAGAGGAAAGUGGAAUUCCAUGUGUAGCGGUGAAAUGCGCAGAGAUAUGGAGGAACACCAGUGGCGAAGGCGACUUUCUGGUCUGUAACUGACGCUGAUGUGCGAAAGCGUGGGGAUCAAACAGGAUUAGAUACCCUGGUAGUCCACGCCGUAAACGAUGAGUGCUAAGUGUUAGGGGGUU
rnacentral:rRNA from 1 species